rnacentral:rRNA from 1 species
CUCGGCAACGGAUAUCUCGGCUCACGCAUCGAUGAAGAACGUAGCAAAAUGCGAUACUUGGUGUGAAUUGCAGAAUCCCGUGAACCAUCGAGUUUUUGAACGCAAGUUGCGCCCGAAGCCAUUCGGCUGAGGGCACGUCUGCCUGGGCGUCACGCAUCGCGUCGC